rnacentral:rRNA from 1 species
AACGAACGCUGGCGGCAGGCUUAACACAUGCAAGUCGAGCGCCCCGCAAGGGGAGCGGCAGACGGGUGAGUAACGCGUGGGAACAUACCCUUUGGUUCGGAAUAACUCAGGGAAACUUGAGCUAAUACCGGAUACGUCCGUAAGGAGAAAGAUUUAUCGCCAAAGGAUUGGCCCGCGUCCGAUUAGCUAGUUGGUGAGGUAACGGCUCACCAAGGCUACGAUCGGUAGCUGGUCUGAGAGGAUGAUCAGCCACAUUGGGACUGAGACACGGCCCAAACUCCUACGGGAGGCAGCAGUGGGGAAUAUUGGACAAUGGGCGCAAGCCUGAUCCAGCCAUGCCGCGUGAGUGAUGAAGGCCUUAGGGUUGUAAAGCUCUUUUGUCCGGGAAGAUAAUGACUGUACCGGAAGAAUAAGCCCCGGCUAACUUCGUGCCAGCAGCCGCGGUAAAGUGACUACUG